rnacentral:antisense_RNA from 1 species
AUUGACACAAUUUUUUAUGAGCAGGAUGCAGUCCUUAAACUGCACCUGCUUUUUCUUUUAGCUGUUCUUCCUUUUCUCUAACGAGCGGAAU